CCGUCGGUUGUGAGUGUGUGGUUGCGCUUUCUUUCGUUUUUUGGUCUGCGCAAACUUAUUUUCGCGUUGUAAUAAUUUUGCAUAAAUAUCGCAAUUCGAUUGCCAUUAAAUAACAAUAACAAAAAGCGUAGAGCGCUUCGAAAUAUUAAGACCCCAAGCAUUCAGAAGUUUGGAAGUAGCUACAUAACUGUGAAGUGCAAAGUGCGGGUCUCUCUGUCUUCGUCGCUGUCUCUCUGUUUGUGUGUGCGCGCGCGUGAGUUCGUCGUUUGUGUGAGUGUGUGUGUAAAUGGUCAAAUAAACGCUGAAAGCAGAACGUGCAACAAGAAGUAGCAGCAACAAGAAGCAACAGAGCCGCCGAGCACCAGCUGACGAGAAUUGAAAAUUCCAAUAACAUCGCGAGUGUAAAUCGAAAGUGUAUUUAACGAAUUUAUAGGAACAGAAGUAAAAUAAUCCAAGAACUUACAAUGCAUCCGCGCUAUAGCCCUGGACCGCCGCACCAGCCGCAGCAGCAACAAAUGGGCGGAGGAGGACCCCACCAACAGCAGGGUGGUGGAGGAGGCGGAGGUGGUGGGGGUCAUAUGAGAGGUGGAGGACCUUCAAACUCCCAGCAAUUGCCGCCACAGAUGCCACGAUCACAGAAUUAUUCGAACGGGAGCUCGUCCAGUGCCGCUGCCGCUGCCGCCGCCGCUGCCGCUUCGUCAACACAGCAGCGCAGCGCUUUUCCCGGCGCACCGUUAACCGCCUCAGCCGUUGCACUCAAAGGCUCAUUGCCACAGCGUCCACCGGCCAUGACGAGCCCAGCCGCUGCUGCUGCCGGCGCUGCUUUGGCCGCCGGCGCCCCUUAUCGCGGUGCCACCAGCUGGACCCCACAGGGCUAUGCCCCGGCCGCUGCCGCCGCCGCUGCUGCCGUGGCCCAGCAGGCCGCCUAUCGCUACACGGCGCCGCUCCCCCAGCCGGCCUAUGCCGCCUAUACGCCGCACACGGCCACCACACCGGCCACAACCACGGUAAGUCAUCUUUACAACCCCAUGGAAUUGCACUUUUGGUACGGCCAGCGUGUGCCAACGGCAGCCUCACCGAGCAACACCAACUCGAGCAGCUCCUCGAACACCGGCUCCCAGAGCGGCACACUGAGCACCAGCCUGAGCAACACGACAAAUACCAACACGAACAUGGGUCCCAACGGCACCGUUCAGAAUCAGAACCAGCAGGGCGGCGAGCAGUUGUCAAAGACAAAUCUCUAUAUACGCGGACUGCAGCAAGGCACAACCGACAAGGAUCUAGUUAAUAUGUGUGCACAAUACGGAACCAUUAUAUCAACCAAGGCGAUUUUAGAUAAAACAACAAACAAAUGUAAAGGUUACGGCUUCGUCGACUUCGAGCAGCCAGCCUUCGCCGAGUGCGCCGUCAAGGGACUGCAGGGGAAGGGCGUGCAAGCUCAGAUGGCCAAAGUGGGUAUCUGGGUGCUUCAUAGGCCGGCCAUUCAACAGGAACAGGAUCCCACAAAUUUGUAUAUUGCAAAUUUGCCGCCCCACUUCAAAGAAACUGAUCUGGAGUCAAUGCUAUCGAAAUACGGACAAGUUGUUUCGACCAGAAUAUUGCGUGAUCAGCAAAUGAACUCAAAGGGCGUUGGCUUCGCCCGCAUGGAGAGUCGCGAGAAGUGCGAGCAAAUCAUUCAGAUGUUCAAUGGUAACACAAUACCGGGUGCCAAAGAUCCACUAUUGGUGAAGUUCGCCGAUGGCGGACCCAAAAAGAAGAAUCUCUUCAAGACCCCCGAUCCGAAUGCCCGUGCGUGGCGCGAUGUCUCCGCCGAGGGCAUACCCGUCACCUAUGACCCGAGCAUGCAGCAGAAUGGUGUCAGCGUCAAUGUGGGCACACCCAUUGGUGUGCCGUACUCGCGAUUUGGUGCCCCCCAGGUGGGUGGCUAUCCAGUGGCUGGGUCCCAGUGGAUACCCGGCUAUAUGAUGACCCAGCCGAUCACUCAGGUAGAUGAUCAGUACAUGCAAAUGGCUGCCGCUCCGCAGUUGGGCGUCACCUCAUACAAACCGGAGGCUGUCAACCAGGUGCAACCCCGCGGCAUUUCGAUGAUGGUCAGUGGCGACACGGCCGUGCCAUAUGGAACGAUGAUGCCACAGUUGGCCACCCUGCAGAUUGGCAACUCUAACUUUUCUCCAUCGUUACAGUAUAUUAGUCCAACUUAUCCAUAUUAUGCACCACCAACUAUUAUACCAACAAUGCCAAUGACAGAUUCCGAACAGGCUAGCACAGCUGCAUCACCCGACGAGGCAUACACACAGUAUCCACAUCAAGCCGCUCCCAAAUAGGUCUUCGCGAGUAUAGUUACUAAGCAGUCUAAUCACUGGUAAUCCAUACUAGCUAUAAUCUAAUAGUACCCCAUUUGAGUACUACAUAAAUUGGACGAGUGAGAGAGCAUGCCCCAGAGCAAUAGGAGGAGGAACAUCAAACACUACAACAACAGAAGCAGCAACAGAUCGGAUAUAGAAGAUAACCACCACAUGAACAACCAACAGAUCGAACAUUCAGAAGCAGAUAAAUCAGACAACAACAACAAAAUGCAGUUCACUAAAAUAAAUGUUUCAAAAAGAUACAGAAAACAUUAGAGAAACCGAAACCGAAAGCUAGGAGAAAGAAAAUUAUGUAUAAAUAAGUGAGGUUUAGGAGGAUGAAGUUUAGGAGAUACAUGAAUUGAGAUACAUGUAAGCCAGGAGAGAAGAAUGUGCAUAGAGUGCAUAAAGAGAGAGAAGAGGGCAAAGCAAAGCAGAGCAAAGCAACGCUUCCAUGCAUUAAGAAAAAGAAAGAAGCGAGUAAAAAGUGAAGGAAAGCAAAGACUAAACUUAAAUAAUAGAAAAUAGUUAUACACUAAAUAAAAACAGCAAAGAUCCGCAGAGAACAGCAAAGGAAACAGCAAAGUUGCUUAACAACAGAGAAAAUUAAGAGAACAACAAACUAGAGGCAGUCGAAAAUAUUUACAAAAAGAGAACUGCUACAAAAAAAAAACGUUGAAAGAAAGGAGAGGAAUGAAAAGAAGAGGAGAAUAUAAGAGAAGAAGUCAAACGGGGGCAAAGUAAUGGAAGGCUUGAGAAACAUCUGCAAGUAAAUCCAAACGCAGAUUCUAGUUAAGGUCUAGUUUCGUUAAGUGAAAGAAAAAGAUUUAAAAUUGCAUGGGGAUAGAUACCCCGGGAGGGGAUCCGAUCGACGAAAAUGUUAAAAUUGAAAAGGAAAGAAUACAAAAACUAUAUAAAAAUAUUUUGCUAAUUUUGAGCUAGCAAAAAAACCUAAGCAGAGAGAAAUUUGUGAAAUGAAAUGAUGUAAGAAGGAAGCAACCGAAACCCAAAACAAAACAAAACAAAACAAAAAAUAAAUGUGUGUGCAAUGUAUGUUAAAGAAAAUUAAAAAGUAAACGAAGAAACGGAGAAAAUAAUAAAAAGGAAACCCCAAAAGCAGUUUGUUCAUUAGAACAAACAAGAUCAGAACAACAAAAAAGUAAACCUAAAUCUUAAGUCGAACUGCAGCAAAAUCUAGAG